AGAGUUUGAUCCUGGCUCAGAUUGAACGCUGGCGGCGGGCCUAACACAUGCAAGUCGAACGGUAGCACAGAGAGCUUGCUCUUGGGUGACGAGUGGCGGACGGGUGAGUAAUGUAUGGGGAUCUGCCCGAUAGAGGGGGAUAACUACUGGAAACGGUAGCUAAUACCGCAUAAUCUCUAAGGAGCAAAGCAGGGGACCUUCGGGCCUUGCGCGAUUGGAUAUGCCCAGGUGGGAUUAGCUAGUUGGUGAGGUAAUGGCUCACCAAGGCGACGAUCCCUAGCUGGUCUGAGAGGAUGACCAGCCACACUGGAACUGAGACACGGUCCAGACUCCUACGGGAGGCAGCAGUGGGGAAUAUUGCACAAUGGGCGCAAGCCUGAUGCAGCCAUGCCGCGUGUAUGAAGAAGGCCUUCGGGUUGUAAAGUACUUUCAGCGAGGAGGAAGGCGUUGUGGUUAAUAACCUUAGUGAUUGACGUUACUCGCAGAAGAAGCACCGGCUAACUCCGUGCCAGCAGCCGCGGUAAUUC
rnacentral:rRNA from 1 species